ensembl:misc_RNA Metazoa_SRP Metazoan signal recognition particle RNA
GUUGGGCGUGUUGAAGUAUGCCUGUAGUCUCAGCUACUCAGGAGGCUGAGGUCAGAGGAUCGCUUGAGCCCAGGAGUUCUGGGCUGUAGUGCACUAUGUCAAUCGGGAGUCUGAACUAAGUUUGGCGUCAAUAUGGUGACCUCCCGGGAGCUGGAGACCACCAGGUUGCCUAAGGAGGGGUGAACCGGCCCAGGUCAAAAACAGAGCAGGUAAAAACUCCCGUGCUAGCCGGGCGCGGUAGCUCACGCCUGUAAUCCCAGCACUUUGGGAGGCCGAGGCAGGUGGAUUCCGAAGUCAAGAGAUCAAGACCAUCCUGGUCAACAUGGUGAAACCCUGUCUCUA